UCCCCUCGACAGAGUGUACUUCUAACCCUAAUUUAAGUAAUCUCUCGUCAAAGUUGGCUGUUUUUUCACCCUCUGGCUUUCAGCACAGACGAGAGGAGCUGGGAACGGCGUUGGUUUGUUAAAAAAGCUCGGAGGGACGCUCUGUUGAGUUCAGUUUUCGUGAACAGCCCGGCUGUCACUAACAGUGUGUCUGUGCUGCUUCGUCGUCUUUAAAUCAGCGACGACGAACAAUAAUCGAACAAUAACUGAACAGAUUAAAUCUGAGCAGGUCGACUCUAACAGGUCUCUCUGUGGCCUGGUUAGAAAACCGAAGCUCAAACACAC